rnacentral:rRNA from 1 species
UGGGGAAUAUUGCACAAUGGGCGAAAGCCUGAUGCAGCAACGCCGCGUGAGUGAUGAAGGUCUUCGGAUUGUAAAGCUCUGUCUUUUGGGACGAUAAUGACGGUACCAAAGGAGGAAGCCACGGCUAACUACGUGCCAGCAGCCGCGGUAAUACGUAGGUGGCGAGCGUUGUCCGGAUUUACUGGGCGUAAAGGGUGCGUAGGCGGAUGUUUAAGUGAGAUGUGAAAUACCCGGGCUUAACUUGGGUGCUGCAUUUCAAACUGGAUAUCUAGAGUGCAGGAGAGGAGAAUGGAAUUCCUAGUGUAGCGGUGAAAUGCGUAGAGAUUAGGAAGAACACCAGUGGCGAAGGCGAUUCUCUGGACUGUAACUGACGCUGAGGCACGAAAGCGUGGGUAGCAAACAGGAUUAGAUACCCUGGUAGUCCACGCCGUAAACGAUGAGUACUAGGUGUAGGAGGUAUCGACCCCUUCUGUGCCGCAGUAAACACAUUAAGUACUCCGCCUGGGAAGUA